ACGGGUGAGUAACGCGUGAGUAACCUGCCUUCAAGAGGGGGAUAACAUUCUGAAAAGAAUGCUAAUACCGCAUGACAUAUCGGAACCACAUGGUUUUGAUAUCAAAGAUUUUAUCGCUUGAAGAUGGACUCGCGUCCGAUUAGUUAGUUGGUGAGGUAAUGGCCCACCAAGGCGACGAUCGGUAGCCGGACUGAGAGGUUGAACGGCCACAUUGGGACUGAGACACGGCCCAGACUCCUACGGGAGGCAGCAUG
rnacentral:rRNA from 1 species